rnacentral:rRNA from 1 species
GACGAACGCUGGCGGCGUGCCUAAUACAUGCAAGUAGGACGCAGUUGCGAACGGGUGAGUAACGCGUAGGUAACUGCCUAUUAGAGGGGGAUAACUAUUGGAAACGAUAGCUAAUACCGCAUACUAGUAGAUGGACCUACGUUGUAUUAGCUAGUAGGUAGGGUAAUUGCCUACCUAGGCGACGAUACAUAGCCGACCUGAGAGGGGGAACUGCCCACCUGGGUAUGAGACACGGCCCAGACUCCUACGGGAGGCAGCAGGAGGGAAUCUUCGGCAAUGGGGGGAACCCUGACCGAGCAACGCCGCGUGAGUGAAGAAGGUUUUCGGAUCGUAAAGCUCUGUUGUUAAGGAAGCGGUACUUAACCAGAAAGGGACGGCUAACUACGUGCCAGCAGCCGCGGUAAUUC